rnacentral:misc_RNA from 1 species
AAAGUCGUAACAAGGUUUCCGUAGGUGAACCUGCGGAAGGAUCAUUACCUAUUGCUUGGGCAGUUACAUGCCCUUGCAACCUUAAUCCCUUGUCUAUCUACCUUCUGUCCAUCCCUUUAGCAGGUAGCCAUCUGCUAGGGGGGCUGAACAUCCAUGUAUUAACUUUUUCGAAUUACUACACAAAUUAAAUUAUUACAACUUUUAACAAUGGAUCUCUUGGUUCUG